CCGAGGGUCUAUUUGGAAACAGCCUCUCUACCCAAGGGUAGGGGUAAGGUCUGCGUACAUACUACCCUCCCCAAACCUCACUAAGUGGGAUUAUACCAGGUUGUUGUAGUUGUUGUUAUCUGCCUAAUGCUCUUUAUAGUUCUAUAUCCUCCCGUAUACUCUUUCCAACAUAUUGCCUUCUUUUCCUUUUUUUCUAAUAGGAGAAAACUCUUGCCAAGUUGUGUGCCAAAAAGUAGAGAACCUACACAGUAAUAUAGUUCUCUACAAAUGAGAUCUAAUUCUCCAUGCAUACAGGAGAACUUCUUGGGUACACCGAAACUAAGAGUAAGAGGUUAUUCCUCAGUCUUAAAAACUCUACUUCUCUCUAAAGGUCUAUUUAGAAAUGUCCUCCUUCCAGGUAACAUCACCUACUGUACCCAAAAAUAAUUCAAAAGAAACCACCACGGAGUGUGAAGCCACCUGGAAUCAUAUUGCCUUCUCCUACCAAAGCUAAUACUCAACCACAUGCGAAACCUUCAUCUUUACCCCUUUAGCAGAUAUCAGUGGAUAAAGCUAAGGGCAUCUGUGGAUUAUUGGUGAUAGAUCUACAAUGAACUCAAUUAAUAUGCUAGAUGAUCUAACCUAGACUCGGGCUAAAGUGUCGAAGGCAGUAACUAUGAACCAUUUAUCGAGAUUCUAAAUUCAGAAAAUAACAUCCCUAUCAGAGGUCGUGGAAGUCUGUCUCUUGCAUGAGACUAUAUAGAGUCAUCAUCCUCUAAUUUUUUCCAGGUCAAAGCAACCUUCUAUUGAUGGAAAUUGAAAGAUUAUCAUGAAUGUAUCACAAAGAGAUGACAAAAAUUCUACUUCCAAGAAUGUAAAAGACAUGUGCCUAUUUGCAGUUCAACAGAAAUACAUGAGACCUGUCAAGAUAUCUAUGUAGCUGGGCAACAUAAAGAUGCUAGGAGAGUAAAAUUAAAUAGUAGGAAACGUGCGCAAAGCUAAAAUCAAUUAUAAGAACAACGUUAGACUGUAAGAUCUUCUUGACUUGCUCAAUGAGCUUUUCAAGAUAAG
rnacentral:lncRNA from 1 species